AGAGUUUGAUCCUGGCUCAGGAUGAACGCUGGCGGCGUGCUUAACACAUGCAAGUCGAACGAUUGAAGCUGGAGCUUGCUCCGGCCGAUUUAGUGGCGGACGGGUGAGUAACGCGUGGGUAACCUGCCUCAUACAGGGGGAUAGCAGCUGGAAACGGCUGGUAAUACCGCAUAAGCGCACAGUACCACAUGGUACAGUGUGAAAAACUCCGGUGGUAUGAGAUGGACCCGCGUCUGAUUAGCUGGUUGGCGGGGUAACGGCCCACCAAGGCGACGAUCAGUAGCCGACCUGAGAGGGUGACCGGCCACAUUGGGACUGAGACACGGCCCAGACUCCUACGGGAGGCAGCAGUGGGGAAUAUUGCACAAUGGGGGAAACCCUGAUGCAGCGACGCCGCGUGAGUGAAGAAGUAUUUCGGUAUGUAAAGCUCUAUCAGCAGGGAAGAUAAUGACGGUACCUGACUAAGAAGCUCCGGCUAAAUACGUGCCAGCAGCCGCGGUAAUACGUAUGGAGCAAGCGUUAUCCGGAUUUACUGGGUGUAAAGGGAGUGUAGGUGGCCAGGCAAGUCAGAAGUGAAAGCCCGGGGCUCAACCCCGGGACUGCUUUUGAAACUGCAGGGCUAGAGUGCAGGAGGGGCAAGUGGAAUUCCUAGUGUAGCGGUGAAAUGCGUAGAUAUUAGGAGGAACACCAGUGGCGAAGGCGGCUUUCUGGACUGACACUGACACUGAGGCUCGAAAGCGUGGGGAGCAAACAGGAUUAGAUACCCUGGUAGUCCACGCCGUAAACG
rnacentral:rRNA from 1 species